rnacentral:rRNA from 1 species
UCGGGAAUAUUGCGCAAUGGAGGAAACUCUGACGCAGUGACGCCGCGUGCAGGAAGAAGGUUUUCGGAUUGUAAACUGCUUUAGACAGGGAAGAAAAAGACAGUACCUGUAGAAUAAGCUCCGGCUAACUACGUGCCAGCAGCCGCGGUAAUACGUAGGGAGCAAGCGUUAUCCGGAUUUAUUGGGUGUAAAGGGUGCGUAGACGGGAUAAUAAGUUAGUUGUGAAACCCCCAGGCUUAACUUGGGAACUGCAACUAAAACUGUUAUUCUUGAGUGUUGGAGAGGAAAGUGGAAUUCCUAGUGUAGCGGUGAAAUGCGUAGAUAUUAGGAGGAACACCAGUGGCGAAGGCGACUUUCUGGACAAUAACUGACGUUGAGGCACGAAAGUGUGGGGAGCAAA